rnacentral:rRNA from 1 species
UACGUAGGGUGCGAGCGUUAAUCGGAAUUACUGGGCGUAAAGCGUGCGCAGGCGGUUUUGUAAGCCAGAUGUGAAAUCCCCGGGCUUAACCUGGGAAUGGCAUUUGGGACUGCAAGGCUGGAGUGUGGCAGAGGAGACUGGAAUUCCUGGUGUAGCAGUGAAAUGCGCAGAUAUCAGGAGGAACACCGAUGGCGAAGGCAGAUCUCUGGGCCUUACCUGACGCUGAGGAGCGAAAGCUGGGGGAGCGAACAGG